GACGAACCGGACAAACGUUAUUCGGAAUUACUGGGCUUAAAGGGUUUGUAGGCGGCCUUGUAAGUCAGGUGUGAAAUCCCUCGGCUCACCGAAGGAUAGCGCUUGAUAACUGCAGGCUUGAGGGAGACAGGGGUAAGCGGAACUGAUGGUGGAGCGGUGAAAUGCGUUGAUAUCAUCAGGAACACCGGUGGCGAAAGCGGCUUACUGGGUCUCUUCUGACGCUGAGACUCGAAAGCGGUGGGGAGCAAACAGGG
rnacentral:rRNA from 1 species